CCUACGGGUGACAGCAGUGAGGAAUAUUGGUCAAUGGGCGCAAGCCUGAACCAGCCAAGUCGCGUGAGGGAUGACGGUCCUAUGGAUUGUAAACCUCUUUUGUCGGGGAGCAAGUCCCGCCACGUGUGGCGGGAACGAGAGUACCCGAAGUAAAAGCAUCGGCUAACUCCGUGACAGCAGCCGCGGUAAUACGGAGGAUGCGUGAGUUAUCCGGAUUUGUUGGGUUAAAAGGGUGCGUAGGCGGAAGGUUAAGUCAGCGGUAAAAUGUCGGUGCUCAACACCGGCCUGCCGUUGAAACUGGUAUUCUUGAGUGAGCGAGAAGUAUGCGGAAUGCGUGGUGUAGCGGUGAAAUGCAUAGAGAUCACGAAGAACUCUGAUUGCGAAGGCAGCAUACCGGCGCUCAACUGACGCUGAGGCACGAAAGCGUGGGGAUCGAACAGGAUUAGAUACCCGUGUAGUC
rnacentral:rRNA from 1 species